rnacentral:rRNA from 1 species
UACGUAGGUGGCAAGCGUUGUCCGGAUUUACUGGGCGUAAAGAGCGCGCAGGCGGUCGAUCAAGUCGCGUGUGAAAGCCCCCCGGCUCAACUGGGGAGGGUCACGCGAUACUGAUCGACUCGAAGGCAGGAGAGGGUAGUGGAAUUCCCGGUGUAGUGGUGAAAUGCGUAGAUAUUGGGAAGAACACCAGUGGCGAAGGCGGCUAACUGGUCCAGAUCUGACGCUGAGGUGCGAAAGCGUGGGGAGCAAACAGG